CUCCCAUUGGUCUAGCGGUUUAUGACUCUUGCCUUCCAAGCAAGCAGCCUCGGUUCGAUUCCGAGAUGGGGGU
rnacentral:tRNA from 1 species